rnacentral:misc_RNA from 1 species
ACGUGCUAAACAGCAAUUUGCUCAACGUUCCCGAGUUCGGAAACUUCAGUACAUAGCUGAGCUAGAAAGGAAUGUACAAGCUUUACAGGCAGAAGGAUCUGAAGUUUCAGCUGAGGUUGAAUUUCUAAACCAGCAAAAUCUUAUUCUAAGCAUGGAGAAUAAAGCUCUUAAGCAGCGUUUAGAAAGUUUAACUCAGGAGCAGCUUAUCAAAUACAUGGAGCAUGAAGUUUUGGAGAGGGAAAUUGGAAGGCUACGAACCUUGUAUCAGCAACAACAGCAUCCACAGUCACAGCAGCAACUAUCUUCCAGCCAUCGCCGAACUAACAGCAGGGACCUUGAAUCCCAGAUUGCAAAUCUUUCCCUGAAACAUAAGGAUGCCAAUUCUGGCCGUGAUCCUGUGACUGGUCUACUCCGCACUUAGAUAAAUGCAUUAACCAGAGAUUUGUUGUGCUACCACUUUGCCUUGGGCUGCCACAUUAACCAUCAUUAUUUUCUCCUUGAGAUGGGAUGAAAACUAGAGGAACUCAGCUUUACCCCUCUCUGCCUGAUUUGCACAAUUUGUUUUUCUGCUGUUUCUUGCCCUUUUUCAUUUGAUAAUAUCUUCAUGUGCACCUGGUAGUCAUUGCUGGAAAUCAGGUUUCAGGCAAGAUGACUGACCGGAGGUGGUAACUUAAAAAGAGGUUCCAUAUUUUGGGCCCUCCUGUAUGUUCAAGUGAUUAUAAUCCAGGAAAUUUGUGUGCUCCACUUCUGAUCCAUUUGGAGUAUCCACUUUGUGGAGUCAAAUGUAGUGAAGGUUUGUUAGGGCUAUAUGCUUAAUUUGUAAUGACAGUAUUCCAAGGAAAUGCUUUAUUGUAAAAUCUGUUAAAUGAAGUUUGUCUUCCCCUAUAUUUUGUUAAAUGAUGAGGAA